CUGUAGGACAGAUAUCAGGAAAUUUUCAGCUAUUUUUCAAGCUCCGAAGUUUUUUAAUACUCUUGAUGGUGAUAUUCGUGAUGCGCCAAGUGUUUCUUUAUUCCAAUCUAGAUUAAAGCAUUUUUUAUUUUUGUCUUAAUAUCGUCUUGUUAAUGAACAUGGAUCGCUAUUAUUUUAUUGCUGAUUUGAUCAUUCCUUACUUAGUUCUUCUAUUAGUCGAAUACGUGUCAGUUUGUUUGUGUUUACUUUUCGUUCUCUGUGUAAUUAAUAUAACUUUUGUAAUUAUUUAAUUUAUAUAAUUUGUGACUGAUUG